rnacentral:tmRNA from 1 species
GGGGCUGAUUCUGGAUUCGACGGGAUUUGCGAAACCCAAGGUGCAUGCCGAGGGGCGGUUGGCCUCGUAAAAAGCCGCAAAAAACAGUCGCAAACGACGAAAACUACGCUUUAGCAGCUUAAUAACCUGCUUAGAGCCCUCUCUCCCUAGCCUCCGCUCUUAGGACGGGGAUCAAGAGAGGUCAAACCCAAAAGAGAUCGCGUGGAAGCCCUGCCUGGGGUUGAAGCGUUAAAACUUAAUCAGGCUAGUUUGUUAGUGGCGUGUCCGUCCGCAGCUGGCAAGCGAAUGUAAAGACUGACUAAGCAUGUAGUACCGAGGAUGUAGGAAUUUCGGACGCGGGUUCAACUCCCGCCAGCUCCACCA